rnacentral:rRNA from 1 species
CCAGCUCCAAUAGCGUAUAUUAAAGUUGUUGCGGUUAAAAAGCUCGUAGUUGGAUUUCUGCUGAGGACGACCGGUCCGCCCACUGGGUGUGCAUCUGGCUCGGCCUGGGCAUCUUCUUGGAGAACGUAUCUGCACUUCAUUGUGUGGUGCGGUAUCCAGGACUUUUACUUUGAGGAAAUUAGAGUGUUUCAAGCAGGCACACGCCUUGAAUACAUUAGCAUGGAAUAAUAAGAUAGGACCUUGGUUUUAUUUUGUUGGUUUCUAGAACUGAGGUAAUGAUUAAUAGGGAUAGUUGGGGGCAUUCGUAUUUAACUGUCAGAGGUGAAAUUCUUGGAUUUGUUAAAGACGAACUACUGCGAAAGCAUUUGCCAAGGAUGUUUUCAUUGAUCAAGAACGAAAGUUAGGGGAUCGAAGACGAUCAGAUACCGUCCUAGCCUUAACCAUAAAUCAUGCCGACUAGAGAUUGGAGGUCGUUAUCUUUACGACUCCUUCAGCACCUUAUGAGAAAUCAAAGUCUUUGGGUUCCGGGGGGAGUAUGGUCGCAAGGCUGAAACUUAAAGGAAUUGACGGAAGGGCACCACCAGGAGUGGAGCCUGCGGCUUAAUUCGACUCAAC